rnacentral:rRNA from 1 species
CAGUAGCCACGGUAAUACAGAGGGUGCGAGCGUUAAUCGGAUUUACUGGGCGUAAAGCGUGCGUAGGCGGCUUCUUAAGUCGGAUGUGAAAUCCCUGAGCUUAACUUAGGAAUUGCAUUCGAUACUGGGAAGCUAGAGUAUGGGAGAGGAUGGUAGAAUUCCAGGUGUAGCGGUGAAAUGCGUAGAGAUCUGGAGGAAUACCGAUGGCGAAGGCAGCCAUCUGGCCUAAUACUGACGCUGAGGUACGAAAGCAUGGGGAGCAAACAGGAUUAGAUACCCCAGUAGUUCCUGUCUCUUAUAC